rnacentral:ncRNA from 1 species
CUAAAUUGCUGUUUAAGUAUUUUAAUAAAAGACUUUAUAUUUAAAAUCUUUGUUCUUUUUUUAUUUGUAAAUCUUUCCAUUAUUAGAAGUCUAUAAUUUUCUUUUUUAGUGAAAUCUUUUAGAGAGUUUUUUUGUGAAAUGAUAAAUUUGGUGCCAGCAGUUGCGGUUAGACUAAAAUUUCUAAAAUAUUUAUUAAGGUAAAUAAUUUGUGGAAUAUAAUUUUAAAUAUAUUUAGGUGAAAUUUUUAUAUAUCUUAUAUAUUCUUUAUAUUUAUUAAAAAUAAGAUUAUGGACUAGGAUUAGAUACCCUACUACUCUUAAUUAUCUCCCCUUAAAUGAUUAUAUAUAAAAUUUAAAAAUUUGGCGGCUUUAUUUUUUAGAGGAACUUGUCUAUUAAAUUGAUAAUCCUCAGUAAUAUUGAUUUUAAGUUUUUUUUGUAUACCAUCAUUUAAAUUAUUUUUCAAUAAGUAAUUAUUAAAGGUGUUUUAAGAAAGUUAGAUCAAGGUGCAGAUAUACUUAAAAUUAGAUUAGUUACAAUAAGCAUUUAUACAGUAAAAAACUUAAAAUUUUUUUUAAGGUGGAUUUAAAUGUAAUAUAAGAAUAUAUAUGAAAAUUAAAAAUUUAGUGUACAAAUUGCCCGUCACUCUCUUUGAGAUAAGUCGAAACAAAGUAGAAGUACCUGAAGGUGUUUCU